AAAAAUUUAGUUAAAAAAUAACAGUAGUCCGUCAAACUAAAAUUGUUCUCAUGAACUUUUUUUA
rnacentral:tRNA from 1 species